CUUGCUAAGUUUGAUGGCGACCGGCGCACGGGUGAGUAACACGUAUCCAACCUGCCGAUGACUCGGGGAUAGCCUUUCGAAAGAAAGAUUAAUACCCGAUGGCAUAGUUCUUCCGCAUGGUAGAACUAUUAAAGAAUUUCGGUCGUCGAUGGGGAUGCGUUCCAUUAGGUUGUUGGCGGGGUAACGGCCCACCAAGCCUUCGAUGGAUAGGGGUUCUGAGAGGAAGGUCCCCCACAUUGGAACUGAGACACGGUCCAAACUCCUACGGGAGGCAGCANG
rnacentral:rRNA from 1 species